GGGUUUUUCUCUCUUAUCUAAGAUUGAUCCUUAUCUUGUAAAAAGGAAGUGUAGUUCAUGAGGGACUUGUAAUUUGAGGUUGCUCUUCUAUAAGAGGACCCUCAAAGGGGAGGGGCUGGUAUCAGGUAGAGCUGGAGAGACCAGGAGAGCUUAUUGUAAUCAGUUGAGUGGUUAUUCAAUAAAGUUCUCUUUCCCUGUAUUUCUCCUUCUCCUUCGUGGUAUUUUCUGGUGUCGUGCUUCGCUGCAUUAUUGUUGUUAGGCGUGACCUAAGUCAUAAAGACUAGGUUCCCAUGCCAGGAAGGCUGAUCGAUUCUCUUCGGUAGAUCGAGCCGCACGUUGUUGGGAUCUGCUCUGAGAUCCCUUCGUACGUGACACUUGGUAUCAGAGCCAUACAAGAAAUGAAGGAGACGACCUCUACAGCAGCUUCCAUGGUGGGAACUGGGGAUGCAUCAUCCUCGACCGUGGAUCCCAAUCCAGCCUCAGGAGGAGGUACGGCGAUGGGUGGAACACAUCCAGUUGAUGAUUCCCUGCAUGGGUUACGCAUUGCAUCUCCGGUUAUCUCCGCCGACAAUCGAUUUCGAAGGUGUGAGGCCCAAAUAGCUGAGGUUGAAGGGCAAAUGGAGGACCUUGAGGGUAGGGAUGCAACCCUCCAAGGUGAGAUCGCCGCUCAGCUAAACCAGAUUUUCUUCGAUAU
rnacentral:lncRNA from 1 species